UUGACGGGACCCGCACAAGCAGCGGAGCGUGUGGUUUAAUUCGUUGCUACACGAAGAACCUUACCUGGGUUUGACAUAUAGGUUGUAGGGAACUGAAAGGGACCGACCCUUCGGGGAGCCUAUACAGGUGUUGCAUGGCUGUCGUCAGCUCGUGUCGUGAGAUGUUCGGUUAAGUCCGCUAACGAGCGCAACCCUCGUCGUAUGUUAUAUGUGUCAUACGAGACUGCCGGUAAAAAGCCGGAGGAAGGUGAGGAUGAUGUCAGGUCAGCAUGACCUUUAUAUCCAGGGCUACACACACGCUACAAUGGUCUGUACAAUGGGUAGCCAAGCCGCGAGGCGGAGCCAAUCCUGAAAGCAGGCCUCAGUUCAGAUUGUAGGCUGCAACUCGCCUGCAUGAAGAUGGAGUUGCUAGUAACCGCAGGUCAGCAAUACUGCGGUGAAUACGUUCCCGGGUCUU
rnacentral:rRNA from 1 species